AAGAGCAUAGUCUAAUGGUAUGACAACGGUCUCCAAAACCAUUAGUGAUGGUUCGAUUCCAUCUGCUCUUGCCA
rnacentral:tRNA from 1 species